UUCUUGUUGUUGUUGUUGUUCUUGUUGUUGUUCAAUUCUUGUUCUUGCUCUUGUUCCGAGUGUUCUUCACAACAAAAGGAGGAAG
rnacentral:ribozyme from 17 species